AACCUUAUGGACCUGCGGGCGUAUAUCUGCGGAAGGAUCAUUAACCUUUCAAAUCAGGGUGCGGCGCGGCCCCCGAGGAGCGGAAACAAUCCUUGGGAGGUAUGCGGGGGCUUCGAGCCCCCCAUUUACGCACGCACGACUGCCAUCCUUACUUUACGAGCACCUUCUGUUCUCCCUCGGCGGGGCAACCUGCCGUUGGAACCGAAUAAACUCUUUUUGCAUCUAGCAUUACCUGUUCCG
rnacentral:misc_RNA from 1 species